UACAGGGGGUGCAAACGUUGCUCGGAAUCAUUGGGCGUAAAGCGCACGUAGGCGGUUUGUUAUGUCGGAUGUGAAAGCCCUUGGCUCAACUGAGGAAGUGCAUCCGAAACUGGCAAGCUAGAGUACUAAAGAGGGUCGCGGAAUUCCCGGUGUAGAGGUGAAAUUCGUAGAUAUCGGGAGGAACACCGGUGGCGAAGGCGGCUACCUGGACAGAAACUGACGCUGAGGCGCGAAAGCUAGGGGAGCAAACAGG
rnacentral:rRNA from 1 species